ACGUUUUUGUAUAACAAUUUCCAACCUACAUGAUUAAUUUCAGACCAUUUUACGGUUUUAGCGUUGUGUAUAAAUGCGCGCCGGCGCUAACUAGCAUACAUUUCUCGUGCAGGUUGGCUGUUAUAAAGUUUCCAAACUGACCAAAGACCAACGAAUGACUUCUGAAGAAGGGUGGAUUUAUUUGUAGUUUAGUUAAACAAUAAUUUGCCAUAGCAUAUUCAUGGGGAUACUGCAUGAAUUUUGAACAGAUCAAUAACCAGUAGUAAGUAUAGAAGGUCUGCUUGGAGCAUGUCUAACCAGAAGAGUGUGUGCAGACUAAGAAUAACUGACUAACUGUAUCAGGAUUCAUAAAUAACCCUUUGAUGCAGUAUUGAAAUGGUAAUAUUAUCUGAUUGUUUUCCAGAUGGCUCCUUCUUUUGUGGUCGUUGAGUUCCUUGGUGAACAUUCAGUCGCUGUUGUCCCAACCAAAUGGACAGAAGAUGAUGGAAAGAAUACCUUCUGCUGUUGGCCAAGGCCAAAUCCUACCCACUCCAGAAUCCGGAAAGCUGAGAUUCCUGACAAACAAUUCUGGGAGAGGCUGCCAAUUGACUGAAGACUUUGACAAGGCCCUUCAAUACGAAAAACAAGCUGAAAUGUUUUCGAGCCCAGAAGAAGUGUUAACCAAACGGAG